UAAACAGUAUACAGAAAGCCAUCAAAGCGGUGGUUGAUGUGUUGCAAAUUAUGACUUUCAUAUCACAGCCAGCUUUGAUGUGCUGCCUGUUGCACUGU
ensembl:miRNA mir-2 miscRNA